CAGUCGCCACGGGAAUACGAGGGGUUCAAGCGUUAUUCGGAUUGAUUGGGUGUAAAGGGUGUGCAGACGGCUUAUUAAGUCACUUGUUAAAUUCUUCGGCCUAACUGAAGGUCUGCAAGUGAUACUGAUGAGCUAGAGGGUGGAAGAGAGAAGUGGAAUUCUCGGAGUGGCGGUAAAAUGCGUAGAUCUCGAGAGGAACACCAAUGGCGAAGGCAGCUUCUUGGUCCAUUCCUGACGUUCAUACACGAACGCGUGGGGAGCAAACAGGAUUAGAUACCCCCGUAGUCCCUGUCUCUUAUAC
rnacentral:rRNA from 1 species